UACGGAGGGUGCAAGCGUUAUCCGGAUUCACUGGGUUUAAAGGGCGCGCAGGCGGGCUGGUAAGUCAGUGGUGAAAGCCUUGAGCUUAACUCGAGAACUGCCAUUGAUACUAUCAGUCUUGAAUAUUGUUGAGGUUUGCGGAAUGGGUCAUGUAGCGGUGAAAUGCAUAGAUAUGACCCGGAACACCUAUUGCGAAGGCAGCAGGCUAAACAAAGAUUGACGCUGAGGCUCGAAAGCGUGGGGAUCAAACAGG
rnacentral:rRNA from 1 species